rnacentral:rRNA from 1 species
UGGGGAAUUUUGGACAAUGGGCGAAAGCCUGAUCCAGCAAUGCCGCGUGUGUGAAGAAGGCCUUCGGGUUGUAAAGCACUUUUGUCCGGAAAGAAAUCCUUGGCUCUAAUACAGUCGGGGGAUGACGGUACCGGAAGAAUAAGCACCGGCUAACUACGUGCCAGCAGCCGCGGUAAUACGUAGGGUGCAAGCGUUAAUCGGAAUUACUGGGCGUAAAGCGUGCGCAGGCGGUUUGCUAAGACCGAUGUGAAAUCCCCGGGCUCAACCUGGGAACUGCAUUGGUGACUGCAAGGCUAGAGUAUGGCAGAGGGGGGUAGAAUUCCACGUGUAGCAGUGAAAUGCGUAGAGAUGUGGAGGAAUACCGAUGGCGAAGGCAGCCCCCUGGGCCAAUACUGACGCUCAUGCACGAAAGCGUGGGGAGCAAAACAGGAUUAGAUACCCUGGUAGUCCACGCCCUAAACGAUGUCAACUAGUUGUUGGGGAUUCAUUUCCUUAGUAACGUAGCUAACGCGUGAAGUUGACCGCCUGGGGAGUACGGUCGCAAGAUUAAAACUCAAAUGAAUUGACGGGGUCAUAGCUGUUUCCU